rnacentral:rRNA from 1 species
UACGUAGGCAGCAAGCGUUGUUCGGAAUUACUGGGCGUAAAGAGUGUGUAGGCGGUGCUCCAAGUCUGGUGUGAAAUCUCCCGGCUUAACUGGGAGGGUGCAUUAGAAACUGGAAUGCUAGAGGAUGGGAGAGGUAAGCGGAAUUCCUGGUGUAGCGGUGAAAUGCGUAGAUAUCAGGAGGAACACCUGUGGUGUAGACAGCUUACUGGACCAUUUCUGACGCUGAGAUACGAAAGCGUGGGUAGCAAACAGG